AUCUGGCUUAGUUAGGAGGCAGAAAUCAAACUCCGUGAACCCAAAAGAUUAGAUCUUUUGGAACUCGCUUAUAUCAAAGCCUUUUGAGUGGACUCUUUGUUAUUUUUCAUCAAUUGUCCUUAAAGCAGCUUUGGACAUUU
rnacentral:snoRNA from 1 species